GCGGAUAUGGUGGAACGGUAGACACGCUGUCUUGAGGGGGCAGUAGCAUUGCUGUAUGAGUUCAAAUCUCAUUAUCCGCACCA
rnacentral:tRNA from 1 species